rnacentral:rRNA from 1 species
UACGGAGGAUGCGAGCAUUAUCCGGAUUUAUUGGGUUUAAAGGGUGCGUAGGCGGGCUUUUAAGUCAGCGGUAAAAAUUCGGGGCUCAACCCCGUCCGGCCGUUGAAACUGGGGGCCUUGAGUGGGCGAGAAGAAGGCGGAAUGCGUGGUGUAGCGGUGAAAUGCAUAGAUAUCACGCAGAACCCCGAUUGCGAAGGCAGCCUUCCGGCGCCCUACUGACGCUGAGGCACGAAAGUGCGGGGAUCGAACAGG